rnacentral:rRNA from 1 species
UGCCAGACUCCUACGGGAGGCAGCAGUGGGGAAUAUUGCACAAUGGGGGAAACCCUGAUGCAGCGACGCCGCGUGAGCGAAGAAGUAUUUCGGUAUGUAAAGCUCUAUCAGCAGGGAAGAAAAAAAUGACGGUACCUGAGUAAGAAGCACCGGCUAAAUACGUGCCAGCAGCCGCGGUAAUACGUAUGGUGCAAGCGUUAUCCGGAUUUACUGGGUGUAAAGGGAGCGUAGGCGGCCUGCCAAGUCUGAUGUGAAAUACCGGGGCUCAACCCCGGGGCUGCAUUGGAAACUGGCAGGCUGGAGUGUCGGAGAGGCAGGCGGAAUUCCUGGUGUAGCGGUGAAAUGCGUAGAUAUCAGGAGGAACACCGGCGGCGAAGGCGGCCUGCUGGACCGCUACUGACGUUGAGGCUCGAAAGCGUGGGGAGCGAACAGGAUUAGAUACCCUUGUAC